UGGGCUGACAACAGAGGGCC
rnacentral:miRNA from 1 species